UACGUAGGGGGCUAGCGUUGUCCGGAUUAUUGGGCGUAAAGGGCGCGUAGGCGGCUUUGCAAGUGACGGGUGAAAUCCCUCGGCUUAACCGAGGAACUGCCUGUCAGACUGCAUGGCUUGAGACCAGGAGAGGUGAGUGGAAUUCCCAGUGUAGCGGUGAAAUGCGUAGAUAUUGGGAGGAACACCAGUGGCGAAGGCGGCUCACUGGACUGGUACUGACGCUGAUGCGCGAAAGCGUGGGGAGCAAACAGG
rnacentral:rRNA from 1 species